AUUGAACGCUGGCGGCAUGCCUUACACAUGCAAGUCGAACGGCAGCGGACCUUCGGGUGCCGGCGAGUGGCGAACGGGUGAGUAAUAUAUCGGAACGUACCUUUCAGUGGGGGAUAACGUAGCGAAAGUUACGCUAAUACCGCAUAUUCUGUGAGCAGGAAAGCAGGGGAUCGCAAGACCUUGCGCUGAUUGAGCGGCCGAUAUCAGAUUAGCUAGUUGGUGAGGUAAAGGCUCACCAAGGCGACGAUCUGUAGCGGGUCUGAGAGGAUGAUCCGCCACACUGGAACUGAGACACGGUCCGGACUCCUACGGGAGGCAGCAGUGGGGAAUUUUGGACAAUGGGCGCAAGCCUGAUCCAGCCAUGCCGCGUGAGUGAAGAAGG
rnacentral:rRNA from 1 species